rnacentral:rRNA from 1 species
GGCCUUUUGUUUAUAUAUAAGGUCUGACCUGCCCAAUGAGGUUUUAAUGGCCGCGGUAUUUUGACCGUGCAAAGGUAGCAUAAUCAUUAGUCUUUUAAUUGGGGGCUGGUAUGAACGGUUGGACGAGGGGAAAGCUGUCUCGUAAAGUAUGGUACGUAAUUUUACUUUUAAGUGAAAAGGCUUAAAUGGAUGUGGGGGACGAUAAGACCCUAUAGAUCUUAACAGUCUGGUUUGUUAUAAGUGAGGUUUGUAACGAUAAGGGUUGUUUUGUUGGGGCGACAGGAGGAUAGGUAAAACUCUUCUUAUUUAAGGUUAUUUUUAUUGAUAUAUUUGUGAUCCAUUGUUGGUGAUUGUAAGACUAAGUUACCUUAGGGAUAACAGCGUAAUCUUUCUUGAGAGUUCAUAUCGACAGGAAGGGUUGCGACCUCGAUGUUGGAUUAAGGAUUCACUAUGGUGUAGCAGUUAUAGAAGGAGGGUCUGUUCGACCCUUAAAUCCUUACA